UACGUAGGGUGCGAGCGUUAAUCGGAAUUACUGGGCGUAAAGCGUGCGCAGGCGGUUUUGUAAGCCAGAUGUGAAAUCUCCGGGCUUAACUCGGAAAGGUCAACUGAUACUGUGCGACUAGAGUGCAGAAGGGGCAACUGGAAUUCUCGGUGUAGCGGUGAAAUGCGUAGAUAUCGAGAGGAACACCUGCGGCGAAGGCGGGUUGCUGGGCUGACACUGACGCUGAUGCGCGAAAGCCAGGGGAGCGAACGGG
rnacentral:rRNA from 1 species